rnacentral:rRNA from 1 species
UCUACGGGAGGCAGCAGUGGGGAAUAUUGCACAAUGGGGGAAACCCUGAUGCAGCAACGCCGCGUGAAGGAAGACGGUUUUCGGAUUGUAAACUUCUGUUCUUAGUGAAGAAUAAUGACGGUAGCUAAGGAGCAAGCCACGGCUAACUACGUGCCAGCAGCCGCGGUAAUACGUAGGUGGCAAGCGUUGUCCGGAAUUACUGGGUGUAAAGGGAGCGCAGGCGGGAAGCCAAGUCAGCUGUGAAAACUACGGGCUCAACCUGUGGCCUGCAUUUGAAACUGUAGUUCUUGAGUACUGGAGAGGCAGACGGAAUUCCUAGUGUAGCGGUGAAAUGCGUAGAUAUUAGGAGGAACACCAGUGGCGAAGGCGGUCUGCUGGACAGCAACUGACGCUGAGGCGCGAAAGCGUGGGGAGCAAACAGGAUUAGAUACCCUUGUAGUC